AUGUCGGGGUUGCUUGGCACGGUGGUUGAUGCAACAAUAGGAUGGCUGGUGCAAAGCAUCCUUGACAGCUUCUUUACUGGACGUAUGGAAGCCUGGACUCGUGAAAUCGGGCUUGCUGAAGAUGUGGAGAAGCUCAAAUUUCAGAUGAGGGACGUGCAGAUGGUUCUUGCUGCUGCCGAGGGAAGAAGGAUUGACAAUAUGCCUCUGGCCCUGUCACUGGAUGAUCUCAGAGAGCUACUUUAUGAUUCAGAGGACGUGAUGGAUGAGCUUGACUACUACCGACUUGAGCAACAGAUCACAGAAGGGAAAGGUUGUAGUGCUCCUACUGGUACUAAUCUUGAGGGAAGCUAUGUGUCUUCAUCCACUCUAUCUUCUGUUGUUAAAUCAGUAUGCAGUGCCACAAGCCAAAUAACUGACUGGAUCUCACAUGGCAGAAAAAGGAAACGUGAAGAAGAGGGGCCUGCUCAUUGUAACAUGCUGCCUUUUGAGAUUAAAGAUAGCAUUUCCAAGAGGAUCAAUGUAAUAGUGAAUCUUCUAUGCAGUAAUAGCAAUUCUGUAAAGGGGGUUCUUCAGCUUGAGAACUUGCGCACCAUGGCAACAUCAAGUAAGAGUCAGAAUAUUGCCAGGGAUCAUCGCAUGACAACUUCUGUUCCGAUUGAGUCUAAGGUGUACGGACGAGAUGCAGAGAGAGACGAGAUAAUAGAUCUGUUGAUAAAGGGGGGAUUUAGUGAUCUGAAUGUUCUGCCAGUGGUUGGCAGUGGUGGUAUUGGGAAGACGACACUUGUUAGAUAUGUAUACCAUGCUAAAAGAAUUAAAGAUCAUUUUGAUUUGCUAAUAUGGGUCUGUGUAUCCACUAACUUAGAUGUAGUGGGGCUAACACUUCAGAUCCUAGAUCAUGUAUGUGAAGAUAGACCAUAUGAAAAAAAAAGCAGUUUGAAUAAAUUGCAGGAGAUACUUCAAGAAAAUAUUAGAAACAAAAGAUUUCUGCUUGUAAUGGAUGAUAUGUGGGAAGAGAAGGACAGGGGUGGAUGGAUUAAACUCUUGGCUCCAUUGAAAAGUAAUAAAGUAAAAGGUUGCAUGGUACUAGCAACAACCAGAACAAAAUCAGUGGCAAAAAUGAUAGGAACUAUGGAUGAAAUCACAUUGACUGGUCUGGAUGAGAAGGAGUUUUGGCUGUUUUUCAAGGCAUGUGCAUUUCGCAAUGACAACCGCGAGCACCAUCCUAGUUUGCAAUCUAUUGGGAAACAAAUUGCUAAAGCACUAAAAGGCUUCCCACUAGCUGCACAAAGUGUUGGUGCACUUCUGAGCACAGAAGUUAGCUAUCAGCAUUGGACGACAGUUCGGGACAAACGGAAAUCUCUUCAAGGAUAUGAUGAUGAUAUUUUACCCAUCUUGAAGCUCAGUUAUGAUUAUCUACCAGUCUACCUUCAGCGGUGUUUCUCAUACUGCUCUUUGUAUCCAGAGGACUACGGAUUUGAUGGGAAAGAAUUGGUCCAUGCCUGGAUAUCACAAAAUUUUGUGCAGUGCAAAGAUCCUACCAUAAGACUGGAGGAAACAGGGCAUGAAUAUUUGGAAAAAUUAGUGGAUUUGGGCUUCUUCCAAAAGGAUGGCUCACACUAUGUUAUGCAUGACCUAAUGCAUGUAUUGGCAGGGAUGGUUUCAUCAAAUGAGUGUGCUACUAUAGAUGGAUUGAAAUCCGGGGCAAUUCGAGCAAGUGUUCGGCAUUUGUCGAUCAUAAUUGCUGAUUAUGAUAAAGAUGAACAUGUCAGCAAUUCUAGUGAGAAGUUUGACAAAAUACUUCAGAAGGUGUCUUGGCACAAAUUGAGGACAUUGAUGUUGUUUGGGCGAAGCAGCAUACAUUUAUCAGGGCCAUUGCGUACUUUAUGCAAUGAGGCAAAAUGUUUACGGUUGCUAAGUGUGACAGGUGCUGACAUCAGCUCUAUAUACAAUUCGUCAAAUCUAUUCCAUCUUCGCUAUAUAUCAGCAUACAGAGUCAGCAACCCUGCGUUUCGUCAAGCUUUGACAAGAUGUUAUCACCUUCAAGUACUGGAUGUGGGCAUUUCGGGCAAUCUUGAUGUACCUACUGACAUGAAUAAUCUUGUGAAUCUGCGUCAUCUUAUUGCUCAUGAGAAAGUGCACCACGCAAUAGAUUGUGUCAGCAACAUGACCUCUCUUCAGGAAUUAAAAUUCAAGGUUCAAAAUGUUGGCAGUUUUGAGAUAGGACAACUUCAGUCCAUGAAUGAGCUUGUAUCACUAGGAGUUUCUCAACUUGAAAAUGUGAAGACUAAAGAAGAGGCGUGGGCAGCCAUGCUGACACACAAAGAGUAUCUAGAAACAAUGUUCUUGUCAUGGGAGAAUAGCAGCAUGAGCCUUCAACCUGAGGCUGCAGAGGAUGUGCUUGAUGGUCUUCAACCACAUCAGAACCUCAAAACUCUAGAAAUAACUGGAUAUGGUGGUGCUAUCUCCCCAACCUGGCUUUCCAGUGCCUUUUCAGUUACCUCACUGCAGAUACUUCAUCUGGAGGAGUGUAGGGAAUGGCAAAUUCUAUCUACUCAUGGAAUGCAUUCCCUUAGGAAGCUGACAUUGAUCAGGAUGUUGGAUUUAAUGGAACUCUCAGUUCCUUCCUUGGUAGAGUUGAUCCUGAUUGGCAUGCCAAAAUUGAAAAAAUGUACCGGUUCUUAUGGAAUGGAUUUGACUUCCCAUUUAAGUGUUUUGAUGAUCAAGAACUGCCCUCAACUGAAUGAGCUCACUCUUUUCCAGAGUUACUCUUCUUUCGACGCUGAGCAGAAAUCCUGGUUUCCAUCUCUCAGCAAACUGUCCAUCGGGCAGUGUCCUCAUAUAAUCAACAACUGGCCAAUCCUUCCACUAAGAGAAAUGGGGGCACUCAAGGAGUUGGAGUUGAUGGAUCUGCAUGUUGUCAGAGUGUCAAUUCCUUCUCUGGAGAAGUUGGCGUUGACUAAAAUGCCAAUCCUGGAAUAUUGCAGCAGUCUAACGACUUCUCCACCUCUCCAAUCUUCACCUCCUGAAGGAGAUCAGAAUGAAUUGGUGUCUAAUCUCCGUAGACUCACCAUCCAUGAUUGCCCAUGUUUGAUAGUGUCACAUCCUCUUCCGCCUUCUGCUCUAAUUUCUGAGUUGUCCAUCAGUGGGGUUUCGACACUUCCAACAAUGAGGAUAAACUGGAGACGUUUCACUAUCGAAUCUAAUGAGUUGUGUAUGCUGGAUGAGAGUAUCUUGGCAUUUCAUAAUCUGAGGGGUAACAUUGUUUCAAAUAAGAAGCUGUCCAAAUCUGAUCUCUCUUUCAAGUGA
rnacentral:rRNA from 1 species